GGGACUGUUUUCUCAGGGUAGAAGAGAACCCGGCAUCUCGGAUCAAAUCUCGGAUCAAAUCGCAGUUGAGGUUCUUUUUGUUGUUUCGCACACGCGAAUCCAGGAGAGUUGUCUUGUGUCUGCGUUGCCGUGGUAACCACCUUGCUGGUGUUGAUUGAAGAACAGGUUUCAUCUGUGAACCUCUGGUGUUGAUUAAUAUGCUGUUCAUAUUUUAACACAGUACGCUCUGACAGUUGGUAUGCCACAAUCAGCUUGGCCAUAGCCCGUUAGGAAAGAGAAUUUAUCCACCUUCGCUUAAGUAGGUGAUUAGAGCCAAGUACAGAACAUUAAUUUCAGCAGUGCAGAGUCGGUCAUGUUAACAUACAACAGGAACGUGAAUCUGUGCUAGGCCGUGAAGAAUCUCCAGGUGGAGAUAUAGCCUACUAGAUGAGGUCGUCUUGGUGACGCCACUGUAGAUCCACUUCAGAUGAAUGGCUCUGAGAUCCUUGGCAUGACACCUCCCCCUAACUACAACCCCUCCCCCAAUCUCACAGCCAGUCUAGGAUGAUAUAGGCUAAAAAUAGACUGUCCCUGCCAGAGCUCCAAGGAUAUGCAUAUUCUCAUACUGCCACCGUCACCCGACACACACAGGAGCAAUGCUUCAGCUCUGACCGUGGCCAAUCAGAGCCGACUCAGGUGACAUUUAAUUGGGUUUGCGAUGUGAAGAUGGAGGGAGGACUUGUUUCUAGAGGUGGAUGGACCCACUGCUGGGAAGGAGCGGAUCCUGACCAGCAUGAAGCCGCAACACCGCCACAACCAAUCAGAGGAUACGUUACUGGAUGGUGGAGCACAAUGGAAUGGCCCACCAUGCAGCUUCAGCCCAGCGCUCUUCAGACCAGGCUGAGGGCCUGACACCAUGGCUCAGUACGCAGGCCAGGAAGACCCCAGGGCUCUUCAGACCAGGCUGAGGGCCUGACACCAUGGCUCAGUACGCAGGCCAGGAGGGCCCAGAGUUUUUACCAUUCUCAAAUGGUAAAGAGAAACUCUGAUAUCCUACAACAUAAUAACACAUAAUAACUUAAUUUAUGUUAUCAUCUGUGAAGAAAUUGUGUGUGCGUGUGUGUGUUCACCCAGUCCUGUUCCUGGGAGUGAUGGGGUGCUGGCCAGGGCCGUUGAGGCACUGAACCAGGGGCUUAGGCUGGACCAUUAAAGGUCUCCAUCACCAGAGGAGGAAAUGGAAUUACGCUUCACUUCCUGUGAGUCAGGUUACUCACGCCUCAAUUACUGCCUGUUGAGCUCUGUCCAUCAGAGAGAGAGAGAAAGUGUGUGUGUGUGUGUGUGUGUGUGUGUGUGUGUGUGUGUGUGUGUGUGUGUGUGUGU